UUAAGCGACUAAGCGUACACGGUGGAUGCCCUGGCAGUCAGAGGCGAUGAAGGACGUGCUAAUCUGCGAAAAGCGUCGGUAAGGUGAUAUGAACCGUUAUAACCGGCGAUGUCCGAAUGGGGAAACCCAGUGCAAUUCGUUGCACUAUCGUUAACUGAAUACAUAGGUUAACGAGGCGAACCGGGGGAACUGAAACAUCUAAGUACCCCGAGGAAAAGAAAUCAACCGAGAUUCCCCCAGUAGCGGCGAGCGAACGGGGAGCAGCCCAGAGUCUGAAUCAGCUUGUGUGUUAGUGGAACGGUCUGGAAAGUCCGACGGUACAGGGUGAUAGUCCCGUACACCAAAAUGCACAGGUUGUGAACUCGAAGAGUAGGGCGGGACACGUGGUAUCCUGUCUGAAUAUGGGGGGACCAUCCUCCAAGGCUAAAUACUCCUGACUGACCGAUAGUGAACCAGUACCGUGAGGGAAAGGCGAAAAGAACCCCGGCGAGGGGAGUGAAAAAGAACCUGAAACCGUGUACGUACAAGCAGUGGGAGCACCUUCGGGUGUGACUGCGUACCUUUUGUAUAAUGGGUCAGCGACUUAUAUUCUGUAGCAAGGUUAACCGUAUAGGGGAGCCGCAGGGAAACCGAGUCUUAACUGGGCGUUAAGUUGCAGGGUAUAGACCCGAAACCCGGUGAUCUAGCCAUGGGCAGGUUGAAGGUUGGGUAACACUAACUGGAGGACCGAACCGACUAAUGUUGAAAAAUUAGCGGAUGACUUGUGGCUGGGGGUGAAAGGCCAAUCAAACCGGGAGAUAGCUGGUUCUCCCCGAAAGCUAUUUAGGUAGCGCCUCGUGAACUCAUCUUCGGGGGUAGAGCACUGUUUCGGCUAGGGGGUCAUCCCGACUUACCAACCCGAUGCAAACUACGAAUACCGAAGAAUGUUAUCACGGGAGACACACGGCGGGUGCUAACGUCCGUCGUGAAGAGGGAAACAACCCAGACCGCCAGCUAAGGUCCCAAAGUCAUGGUUAAGUGGGAAACGAUGUGGGAAGGCACAGACAGCCAGGAUGUUGGCUUAGAAGCAGCCAUCAUUUAAAGAAAGCGUAAUAGCUCACUGGUCGAGUCGGCCUGCGCGGAAGAUGUAACGGGGCUAAACCAUGCACCGAAGCUGCGGCAGCGACACUAUGUGUUGUUGGGUAGGGGAGCGUUCUGUAAGCCUGUGAAGGUGACCUGUGAGGGUUGCUGGAGGUAUCAGAAGUGCGAAUGCUGACAUAAGUAACGAUAAAGCGGGUGAAAAGCCCGCUCGCCGGAAGACCAAGGGUUCCUGUCCAACGUUAAUCGGGGCAGGGUGAGUCGACCCCUAAGGCGAGGCCGAAAGGCGUAGUCGAUGGGAAACAGGUUAAUAUUCCUGUACUUGGUGUUACUGCGAAGGGGGGACGGAGAAGGCUAUGUUAGCCGGGCGACGGUUGUCCCGGUUUAAGCAUGUAGGCUGAUUGUCCAGGCAAAUCCGGAUAAUCAAGGCUGAGGUGUGAUGACGAGGCACUACGGUGCUGAAGUAACAAAUGCCCUGCUUCCAGGAAAAGCCUCUAAGCAUCAGGUAACAUCAAAUCGUACCCCAAACCGACACAGGUGGUCAGGUAGAGAAUACCAAGGCGCUUGAGAGAACUCGGGUGAAGGAACUAGGCAAAAUGGUGCCGUAACUUCGGGAGAAGGCACGCUGGUGUGUAGGUGAAGUCCCUGCGGAUGGAGCUGAGACCAGUCGAAGAUACCAGCUGGCUGCAACUGUUUAUUAAAAACACAGCACUGUGCAAACACGAAAGUGGACGUAUACGGUGUGACGCCUGCCCGGUGCCGGAAGGUUAAUUGAUGGGGUUAUCCGUAAGGAGAAGCUCUUGAUCGAAGCCCCGGUAAACGGCGGCCGUAACUAUAACGGUCCUAAGGUAGCGAAAUUCCUUGUCGGGUAAGUUCCGACCUGCACGAAUGGCGUAAUGAUGGCCAGGCUGUCUCCACCCGAGACUCAGUGAAAUUGAACUCGCUGUGAAGAUGCAGUGUACCCGCGGCAAGACGGAAAGACCCCGUGAACCUUUACUAUAGCUUGACACUGAACAUUGAGCCUUGAUGUGUAGGAUAGGUGGGAGGCUUUGAAGCGUGGACGCCAGUCUGCGUGGAGCCAACCUUGAAAUACCACCCUUUAAUGUUUGAUGUUCUAACGUUGGCCCCUUACCGGGGUUGCGGACAGUGUCUGGUGGGUAGUUUGACUGGGGCGGUCUCCUCCCAAAGCGUAACGGAGGAGCACGAAGGUUAGCUAAUCCUGGUCGGACAUCAGGAGGUUAGUGCAAUGGCAUAAGCUAGCUUGACUGCGAGCGUGACGGCGCGAGCAGGUGCGAAAGCAGGUCAUAGUGAUCCGGUGGUUCUGAAUGGAAGGGCCAUCGCUCAACGGAUAAAAGGUACUCCGGGGAUAACAGGCUGAUACCGCCCAAGAGUUCAUAUCGACGGCGGUGUUUGGCACCUCGAUGUCGGCUCAUCACAUCCUGGGGCUGAAGUAGGUCCCAAGGGUAUGGCUGUUCGCCAUUUAAAGUGGUACGCGAGCUGGGUUUAGAACGUCGUGAGACAGUUCGGUCCCUAUCUGCCGUGGGCGCUGGAGAAUUGAGGGGGGCUGCUCCUAGUACGAGAGGACCGGAGUGGACGCAUCACUGGUGUUCGGGUUGUCAUGCCAAUGGCACUGCCCGGUAGCUAAAUGCGGAAGAGAUAAGUGCUGAAAGCAUCUAAGCACGAAACUUGCCCCGAGAUGAGUUCUCCCUGAGACUUUAAGUCUCCUGAAGGAACGUUAAAGACGAUGACGUUGAUAGGCCGGGUGUGUAAGCGCAGCGAUGCGUUGAGCUAACCGGUACUAAUGAACCGUGAGGCUUAACCUU
rnacentral:rRNA from 1 species